CCGGUGGAGCACGUGGUUUAAUUCGACGAUAAGCGAAGAACCUUACCAGGGCUUGACCUAGCGGUAGUAGGACCCUGAAAAGGGAACGACCUCAAGCUUUGCUUGAGGAGCCGUGGCAGGUAUUGCAUGGCUGUCGUCAGCUCGUGUCGUGGGACGUUGGGUUAAGUCCCGUAACGAGCGCAACCCCUGCCCUUAAUUGCCAGCGGGUAAUGCCGGGGACUAUAAGGGGACUGCCGGAGAAUAUCCGGAGGAAGGAGGGGAUGACGUCAAGUCAUUAUGAUCCUUAUGCUCUGGGCGACACACGUGCUACAAUGGCCACUACAGUGAGGAGUGAGCCCGCAAGGGUCAGCAAAUCUCAAAAAGGUGGCCUCAGUGCGGAUUGGGGUCUGCAACCCGACCCCAUGAAGAUGGAAUCGGUAGUAAUCGCGGGUCAGCCACACCGCGGUG
rnacentral:rRNA from 1 species